rnacentral:tRNA from 1 species
GGGCGUGUGGCUCAGUUGGUAGAGCGUUCGCUUAGCAUACUCACUUGUAUGCGAAAGGUCCUGGGUUCGAUUCCCAGCUCGUCCA